GGCAAAUAUGCCAGGGAAUGAAUCCUGAGAAUUUUGGAAGGAGUGGAAUUGGGACAGAGGUGAAUACAAGGCUGGGUCUUAUCCUGAUUCCUACUGGUUCCACUUUCUCCUACCUGCUGAAUGGUACCUUUAAGAAGAAAGGAAAGUUUAAAAGGAAGGAGAGCAAAAAGAAGGUAUUUUCAUGUCUGUAUGGCUAAUGUGACCUGUAAAUAAACCAUAACAGAGAAGUGGGCCUGGAUCAAUUACUGAACAUGAAUAAUAACAAAAAUAUUUCUUUACAUUUCUAGAGUUUAGAGUUCUAGAAUUUUCAAAAUGCUCUUACACGUAUAAUCUCAUUUUACCAUAAUGGUUUCAUGCAGCAAGCAGGAAAGUGUAGGAAGGCUCAGAAUGUCAAAAUCUUUCAUGAAAUCUUU
rnacentral:lncRNA from 1 species